rnacentral:rRNA from 1 species
GACGAACGCUGGCGGCGUGCCUAAUACAUGCAAGUAGAACGCUGAAGAGAGGAGCUUGCUCUUCUUGGAUGAGUUGCGAACGGGUGAGUAACGCGUAGGUAACCUGCCUUGUAGCGGGGGAUAACUAUUGGAAACGAUAGCUAAUACCGCAUAACAAUGGAUGACACAUGUCAUUUAUUUGAAAGGGGCAAUUGCUCCACUACAAGAUGGACCUGCGUUGUAUUAGCUAGUAGGUGAGGUAAUGGCUCACCUAGGCGACGAUACAUAGCCGACCUGAGGGGGUGAUCGGCCAAACUGGGACUGGGACACGGCCCAGAAUCCUACGGGAGGCAGCAGGAGGGGAUCUUCGGCAAUGGGGGCAAACCUGACCGAGCAACGCCGCGGGAGUGAAGAAGGUUUUCGGAUCGUAAAGCUCGGUUGUAAGUCAAGAAAGGGUGUGAGAGUGGAAAGUUCACACUGUGACGGUAGCUUACCAGAAAGGGACGGCUAACUACGUG